UACAUGGGGUGCAAACGUUGCUCGGAAUCAUUGGGCGUAAAGCGCGUGUAGGCGGUUACUUAAGUCGGAUGUGAAAGCCCCCGGCUCAACCGGGGAACGACGCAUGAAACUGGCAAGCUAGAGUACCGAAGAGGGGGGUGGAAUUCCCGGUGUAGCGGUGAAAUGCGCAGAUAUCGGGAGGAACACCAAUGGCGAAGGCAGCUCGCUGGGACGUUACUGACGCUGAGACGCGAAAGCGUGGGGAGCAAACAGG
rnacentral:rRNA from 1 species